rnacentral:rRNA from 1 species
GACGAACGCUGGCGGCGUGCCUAAUACAUGCAAGUUGAGCGCUGAAGGUUGGUACUUGUACCGACUGGAUGAGCAGCGAACGGGUGAGUAACGCGUGGGGAAUCUGCCUUUGAGCGGGGGACAACAUUUGGAAACGAAUGCUAAUACCGCAUAAAAUCUUUAAACACAAGUUUUAAGUUUGAAAGAUGCAAUUGCAUCACUCAAAGAUGAUCCCGCGUUGUAUUAGCUAGUUGGUGAGGUAAAGGCUCACCAAGGCGAUGAUACAUAGCCGACCUGAGAGGGUGAUCGGCCACAUUGGGACUGAGACACGGCCCAAACUCCUACGGGAGGCAGCAGUAGGGAAUCUUCGGCAAUAGACGAAAGUCUGACCGAGCAACGCCGCGUGAGUGAAGAAGGGUUUCGGAUCGUAAAACUCUGUUGGUAGAGAAGAACGUUGGUGAGAGUGGAAAGCUCAUCAAGUGACGGUAACUACCCAGAAAGGGACGGCUAACUACGUG